rnacentral:rRNA from 1 species
GUUUGAUCCUGGCUCAGGACGAACGCUGGCGGCGCGCCUAACACAUGCAAGUCGAACGAGCGAGAGAGAGCUUGCUUUCUCGAGCGAGUGGCGAACGGGUGAGUAACGCGUGAGGAACCUGCCUCAAAGAGGGGGACAACAGUUGGAAACGACUGCUAAUACCGCAUAAGCCCACGGGUCGGCAUCGACCGGAGGGAAAAGGAGCAAUCCGCUUUGAGAUGGCCUCGCGUCCGAUUAGCUAGUUGGUGAGGUAACGGCCCACCAAGGCAACGAUCGGUAGCCGGACUGAGAGGUUGAACGGCCACAUUGGGACUGAGACACGGCCCAGACUCCUACGGGAGGCAGCAGUGGGGGAUAUUGCGCAAUGGGGGCAACCCUGACGCAGCAACGCCGCGUGAAGGAUGAAGGUUUUCGGAUUAUAAACUUCUUUUAUUAAGGACGAAAAACGACGGUACUUAAUGAAUAAGCUCCGGCUAACUACGUGCCAGCAGCCGCGGUAAUACGUAGGGAGCAAGCGUUGUCCGGAUUUACUGGGUGUAAAGGGUGCGUAGGCGGCUUUGCAAGUCAGAUGUGAAAUCUAUGGGCUCAACCCAUAAACUGCAUUUGAAACUGUAGAGCUG